GGGUGUUGCACAGCGUGUUUGCGUCAGAUCAUACGCCCCCUGCACUGCACAACACCGCUCUUUUAAAAUACGCUGGAGUUUAUAAAACGUUUUCGCCGACAUAACUCGCAAUGGCAGACGCCGCAGAAAGCAGUGGACAAGAGCCAUGGCAAAAUGAGGGAAUUAAGAAGCGACAAAAGUUGUCUAAGGUGUGGGAACACUUCACACUAAAAUCGAAGGAAAACGCAGUUGUAUGCAAACAUUGCAAAGUGGAGCUCGCAUUUGCACAAGUUUGAUGCUGUAGCACCUGUCGAGAAAGCAUCUGAUUGAGGGACGUCCAUAGGCGAGCUAAAGUGAUGUUGACGCUCGCACUGCCUACUCUGUUCUUCACCACACAGUAGACCAAGCCAAAGGAAGGCAAAAGUGUCUGCAGAGUCGCGUUGUUCCCGUGCCUGAUCUCCCUUGUGUCUUCCCGCUGUGCUUCCCGUGUCUUCCGUGAUCGAGCUGUGUGCCUCGACUCCCUCUUUGGACUUUGGACUGCCUCCCUCGAUCCUUGACCCCCGCUUUGGACAUGGACCUCUUGAUGCCUCUCUCAGCCCCACGGACCUCCCGCUUGUCUCACGGACCUUUUUCUGCCUAUCCCCUUUGGACUUGUCCGCUUCCUCACUCAACACUCAGGGUAAACACUCAACAAGUAAUUGUAAGUAACAUAGUCUCACACCACACACCCGUUUUGGAUUAGUCACAUUCCAUUCUCUUUUUUAGUUUAUAUACAUAGUAUUGUUUGUUAUUAUAUAUAUUUAUUAAUAUAUAUAAUAAAUACGUAGAGCA